GUAGGGAGCAAGCGUUAUCCGGAUUUACUGGGUGUAAAGGGCGCGCAGGCGGGAAGACAAGUUGGGAGUGAAAUCCGGGGGCUCAACCCCCGAACUGCUUUCAAAACUGUUUUUCUUGAGUGAUGGAGAGGCAGGCGGAAUUCCCAGUGUAGCGGUGAAAUGCGUAGAUAUUGGGAGGAACACCAGUGGCGAAGGCGGCCUGCUGGACAUUAACUGACGCUGAGGCGCGAAAGCGUGGGGAGCAAACAGGAUUAGAUACCCUGGUAGUCCACGCCGUAAACGAUGGAUACUAGGUGUGGGAGGUAUUGACCCCCUUCGUGCCGGCGUUAACACAAUAAGUAUCCCACCUGGGGAGUACGAUCGCAAGGUUG
rnacentral:rRNA from 1 species